CAAUAGCGUAUAUUAAAGCUGUUGCGGUUAAAAAGCUCGUAGUUGGAUUUCUGUCAAGGACAACUGGUCCGCCCUCCGGGUGAGCACAUAGUUUGGUCUUGACAUCUUGCUGGAAGCUGUUGCUGCACUUGGCUGUGUGGCGCAGUGUUCAGCACUUUCACUUUGAGGAAAUUGGAGUGUUUCAAGCAGGCACAUGCCUUUGGACACAGUAGCAUGGAAUAAUUAGAUUGGGCUUUUGCUCCAAUUUGUCGGUUUCUGGAGCUGAGGUGAGUAUUAAUGGGGAUUGUUGGGGGCAUCCGAAUUUAGCCGUCAGAGGUGAAAUUCUUGGAUCUGCUAAAGACGGACAACUGCGAAAGCGUUUGCCCAGGAUGUUUUCAUUUA
rnacentral:rRNA from 1 species